AACGCAGAUCAGAGGUAGUCGGACCUUUCCCGCUGGCGCGCAGCCUCAGCUAGGUGAGAGGCGUCUUCCCAAGACCAGACACUGCCGGUGCCCUAUCACCUCCCACUUUUUUUCUGGAACUGCUAGGGGCCCAGCGCUGCUUCUGCAGCCUUCCAGGGGAUGCUGCUGGUGGCGCGUAUGCCGCCUAGGUGGGUGGGGAUGUGCUGAGGCCGAAGGAGUGACAGCGACUCGCAGGUUU
rnacentral:sRNA from 1 species